GUGCUCGAUUCGGCAGCACCUACACUAAAAUUGGGAUGCAACACAGAAGGCUGGCGUGGCCGCAGCGCAAGACUGACACGCAAAUGUGUGCAGCGGUUUGUAUUUUU
ensembl:snRNA U6 U6 spliceosomal RNA